AACGAAUCAAAUCGGGGACUCCUGCGUGCUGCGUGCUGCGUUCAGUGUGCGUGCGGAACUCGAGAGGCAGCCGCCACCGCCCGCUGCCGCCGGCCACCGCAGUCCGCCACCGCCCGCCGCCGCUCUUACAGACUCCAGGACCCCCCUCCUUCCUCCCCUCGCCUCGCCUAUCCAGAUGAGGCCGGCGUCUCCCCUCGGCCCCGCCAGCGGCGCUUGGGGUCGCCGCCCGCUGGGCCCUGGGCUCGCCGUCGUGCGUUCCGGCCUCCCUGCCCCGGUACCGCUUCGGCCCAGUCGGUCUCAGAGGUGUUUCCAUUGCUUCCUUGGAGUAUUGACCGAUUCACUUGUGCACGCAUUGGCUGGCUUCCUAGUGUCUGGACAGCUUGGAUUCAUAAUAUCAACAAUUUGGGGGUGGAAGAGCAUUUUAUCUUUCCCAAAUUUCUGUUUGGUAUCAGAGUCUCCUCAAACCCUAUCUCACCUUGAUCCACUACCGGAUUCGCCGCAGUUGCCGACUGCCUGAGGCGCUCGCUAAAGGUCCCAAUAGCACUGGUAGAAGUGGUGAUUAUCGGGGCCGAGGUGGUGGCCGUGUAGCAUGCUUCCAUGGUGAAGGAGAAAUCCUCACAUGUCACCCUUACAAGAGAAUAGGCUGUGCGGCUGGAGAGGUAACAGAAAAGCAAUGCAACUGCAAGAUAGAAGUCAAUCUCAAGACCUCUUCACCACCUUUGGUAACUCUUAACCAGUGUUGGAAGAUUAAGGAAUCUUCGUUCUAAAUCAAUCUCUUUCAGAGCUACGCAGAGUCGCCUGGAAGUUUUGGAGUAUGCAAGAGUGGUUAAGUCAUCAUUCCCUGAUUAAAGAUGUGAUUGCGACUCCAGUGGAAUUUCAACAACAACUAACUAGGCUCUAGCAGUCAGAUCUCGAUCCAUCCAUUAUAGUAUAGCUUUACAUGGAUAGCAUUCAAAACUGUUUGAUUUGCAGUCUCGAACUAAUGUAAUUGUCCAUUUUCAACCUGGAACGCUAUAUCUGUACUGAAUUGCAGUCUGGAACUAAUGUAAUUAAUUGUCCGUUUUCAACCUUGAACUCCAAAAGCUGUUUCGAUUGCAGUUUCAAACUA